UACGUAGGGUGCAAGCGUUAAUCGGAAUUACUGGGCGUAAAGCGUGCGCAGGCGGUUGUGCAAGACAGAUGUGAAAUCCCCCGGGCUUAACCUGGGAACUGCACUUGUGACUGCACGGCUAGAGUGCGGCAGAGGGGGGAUGGAAUUCCGCGUGUAGCAGUGAAAUGCGUAGAUAUGCGGAGGAACACCGAUGGCGAAGGCAAUCCCCUGGGCCUGCACUGACGCUCAUGCACGAAAGCGUGGGGAGCAAACAGG
rnacentral:rRNA from 1 species